AUGGAAGUGAUGAUUAUUUAUCCAAAUGAUCAAAGCUGAAAUAACUGAGCAAAUAGUAUCUCUGUGUUACAUAGAGACGCCUAAUCAGCUCUAUCUGAUCCAU